GAUUCCUACGGGGGGCAGCAGUGAGGAAUAUUGCGCAAUGGGGGAAACCCUGACGCAGCGACGCCGCGUGAGUGAAGAAGGAUUUCGGUUCGUAAAGCUCUGUCAAGUGGGAAGAAAUGUCACAUGGUUAAUACCUGUGUGAUUUGACGGUACCACUAAAGGAAGCACCGGCUAACUCCGUGCCAGCAGCCGCGGUAAUACGGAGGGUGCAAGCGUUGUUCGGAAUUACUGGGCGUAAAGGGCGCGUAGGCGGCCUAUUAAGUCAGGUGUGAAAGCCCACGGCUCAACCGUGGAUUGUCAUCUGAAACUGGUAGGCUUGAGUAUCGGAGAGGAUAGUGGAAUUCCCGGUGUAGAGGUGAAAUUCGUAGAUAUCGGGAGGAACACCAGUGGCGAAGGCGACUUCCUGGACCAAUACUGACGCUGAGGUGCGAAAGCGUGGGUAGCAAACAGGAUUAGAUACCCUGGUAGUCCACGCCGUAAACGAUGUCAACUAGCCGUCGGGUCCAUUUAAGGAUUUGGUGGCGCAGCUAACGCGAUAAGUUGACCGCCUGGGGAGUACGGCCGCAAGGUUAAAACUCAAAUGAAUUGACGGA
rnacentral:rRNA from 1 species